rnacentral:rRNA from 1 species
UACGUAGGGGGCUAGCGUUGUCCGGAAUCAUUGGGCGUAAAGAGCGCGUAGGCGGCCAGAUAAGUCCGGUGUAAAAGUCACAGGCUCAACCUGUGAAUGCCGCUGGAAACUGUCUGGCUUGAGUCCGGGAGGGGCGAGUGGAAUUCCUGGUGUAGCGGUGAAAUGCGCAGAUAUCAGGAGGAACACCAAUGGCGAAGGCGGCACUCUGGGCCGUGACUGACGCUGAGACGCGAAAGCGUGGGGAGCGAACAGG